rnacentral:rRNA from 1 species
GAUGAACGCUAGCGAUAGGCUUAACACAUGCAAGUCGAGGGGCAGCAUGGUCUUAGCUUGCUAAGGCUGAUGGCGACCGGCGCACGGGUGCGUAACGCGUAUGCAACUUGCCUCACAGAGGGGGAUAACCCGUCGAAAGACGGACUAAUACCGCGUACACUCUAUGUUGGGCAUCCAAUGUAGAGGAAAUGAAAUUCGCUGUGAGAUAGGCAUGCGUCCCAUUAGCUAGUUGGUGAGGUAACGGCUCACCAAGGCGACGAUGGGUAGGGGAACUGAGAGGUUGAACCCCCACACUGGUACUGAGACACGGACCAGACUCCUACGGGAGGCAGCAGUGAGGAAUAUUGGUCAAUGGGCGAGAGCCUGAACCAGCCAAGUCGCGUGAAGGAUGACUGUCUUAUGGAUUGUAAACUUCUUUUAUACGGGAAUAACAAGAGUCACGUGUGGCUCCCUGCAUGUACCGUAUGAAUAAGCAUCGGCUAACUCCGU